rnacentral:lncRNA from 1 species
GGUCUCAGUUGCCUGGUGGCACUCUUUCUCUACCAUGUGGUCUUUGGCAUCCAGUACUUGGGCAUCCUCAAUGGAGUGGCCGCCUUCGUGAUCGUGGGCAUCGGUGUGGACGAUGUCUUUGUAUUCAUCAACACAUACCGCCAGGCUACACACCUGGAAGACCCCCAACUGCGGAUGAUCCACACCAUCCAGACGGCAGGCAAAGCCACCUUCUUCACCUCGCUGACCACUGCUGCCGCCUAUGCGGCCAACGUCUUUUCCCAGAUCCCAGCUGUCCAUGACUUCGGCUUGUUCAUGUCCCUCAUUGUGACCUGCUGCUGGCUGGCCGUGCUGUUCACCAUGCCUGCGGCCCUGGGCCUCUGGAGCCUCUACGUGGCACCCCUGGAGAGCUCCUGCCAGAGCAGCUGCCACCAGAAGU